UUCUUUAAUAACUUGGGUCAGUCUAUCGGGGAUCUGGAGAUUGAUGUGAUCUCUCCUUGCACGUAAUCAAAUGCUCUUCUUUAGUGAUUUGAUUUGAUAGGUGUGGAGGCAUCUCCAAUCAACCUUUCUCAAAGCGGUGGUCGAAACAAGAGCCAGCAGAGAUGAAGGUUAGUAACUGAAGCAUGGUAGUCACUGGAGGUGUGAGCUAG
rnacentral:lncRNA from 1 species